rnacentral:rRNA from 1 species
CCUACGGGUGGCAGCAGUAGGGAAUCUUCCACAAUGGACGCAAGUCUGAUGGAGCAACGCCGCGUGAGUGAAGAAGGGUUUCGGCUCGUAAAGCUCUGUUGGCAGUGAAGAAAGGUAGAGGUAGUAACUGGCCUUUAUUUGACGGUACUUACUUAGAAAGUAACGGCUAACUACGUGCCAGCAGCCGCGGUAAUACGUAGGUGGCAAGCGUUGUCCGGAUUUAUUGGGCGUAAAGCGAGUGCAGGCGGUUCGAUAAGUCUGAUGUGAAAGCCUUCGGCUCAACCGGAGAAUUGCAUCAGAAACUGUUGAACUUGAGUGCAGAAGAGGGGAGUGGAACUCCAGGUGUAGCGGUGGAAUGCGUAGAGAGAUGGAAGAACACCAGUGGCGAAGGCGGCUCUCUGGUCGGCAACUGACGCUGAGGCUCGAAAGCAUGGGUAGCGAACAGGAUUAGAUACCCGGGUAGUC